rnacentral:rRNA from 1 species
UACGUAGGGUGCAAGCGUUGUCCGGAAUUAUUGGGCGUAAAGAGCUCGUAGGCGGUCUGUCGCGUCGGCUGUGAAAUCCCGAGGCUCAACUUCUGGCCUGCAUCCGAUACUGCCCGACUAGAGGUAGGUAGGGGAGAUCGGAAUUCCUGGUGUAGCGGUGAAAUGCGCAGAUAUCAGGAGGAACACCGGUGGCGAAGGCGGAUCUCUGGGCCUUACCUGACGCUCAGGUGCGAAAGCUAGGGGAGCGAACAGG